GAUGAACGCUGGCGGCGUGCUUAAUACAUGCAAGUCGAGCGGAAAGGCCCUUCGGGGUACUCGAGCGGCGGACGGGUGAGUAACGCGUAAGAAUGUACCCCAAAGUGAGGAAUAACUGCUCGAAAGAGUAGCUAAUGCCGCAUGUGCUCUUCGGAGGAAAGCUUUAUGCGCUUUGGGAACAGCUUGCGUCUGAUUAGCUAGUUGGUAAGGUAACGGCUUACCAAGGCGACGAUCAGUAGCUGGUCUGAGAGGAUGACCAGCCACACUGGGACUGAGACACGGCCCAGACUCCUACGGGAGGCAGCAGUAGGGAAUUUUCCACAAUGGGCGAGAGCCUGAUGGAGCAACGCCGCGUGCUAGAUGAAGGCCUUCGGGUCGUAAAUAGCUUUUGUCUGUGACGAAUAUGACGGUAGCAGACGAAUAAGGAUCGGCUAACUACGUGCCAGCCGCCGCCGUAA
rnacentral:rRNA from 1 species